rnacentral:tRNA from 1 species
GAAGUAGUUCAGUGGUAGAGCAGAAGAUUGUGGAUCUUCCUGUCGAGGGUUCGAACCCCUUCUUC